CAGUUGGAAAUGCAGAAAUCACCCGUCUUCUGCGUCAAUCACGCUGAGAACUGCAGACCAGAGCUGUUCCUAUUUGGCCAUCUUGGAACCGGUCUGAGUCUGUUUUAGCCAGAUCAAGUACUUGGUGAGAGAACCUUUGUGGGAGCGCAGAAGUCCAGCAGAGAGACCCUAGCACUUUAUUUGGACCAAAAAAUAAAUAAUAAAUAAAUAAAUAAAUAAAUCCAAAACUAGAUGCAUUAAAGAAGCAGACACUUGAAGAAGCAUCUUUCUUGUGAUCUCCUGGCUGGUACCCUGAAGUCCUGUUAUGCCAAUGGACCAGCAACCCUCGCAGGUGGCUAAGGAACAAGCAGGCCCGCUGUGUUUCAGUGGCUUUCAGAGAAGGUGGCGGGAAAUAGUCUCUUCUCAGCAGCAGCUGAAUCCCAGUGUUAGCAGACGGAGCCUUGUUUCUUGAAAGUACAUUCCCAGGGAUUCCCUUGAAGAAUGUGAGAGAUCAGCUGGAAUGAAACUGGAUGUUUUAGGGUCCUGAGGGAAAUGUAAAUCCAGCAGCUUAUUCUCAAGAUGUGGCUCCAGAACCAGCAGCACUGAUUCUUCUAAAGAGUUGAGAGUGCAUUUUAGCUGUGAUAUCUUUGUACUCUUAAGAAAUCCUCCUCAACAAGACAAAACUUGACCAAGAGCAUUCAGUUGUCUUCCAGAAGGCUCCCUUGAGGACUGGGACUCUUCCUGGAUGCACCCAAUUAAUCUAUUGAAACAAGGACUCGUGAUGGCAGCCCCUCACCUGACAAACUGGAUUUUCCCCAGAGAUCAUUUGUAAUGUUUUUCCUGAAUCUUAUUUGUGUUUCCCUAUUAGCAAUGUUAUGUAUUUCUAUAUCGCAAAUCCUAAGUGCCGCCUGUAGAACCUAACCUCCAUUUAUAGCAUGGAACACACAGCCCAUCACGUAUCCUUGCCCUGGCCUUCAGCCUCUGAAUAUUUUAAUAAAAAUCACUCUUUCCUCCUUAAGGACCAUGUUCUUUAAAAGCUUAACACAUAGUUCUUAAUAAUUGGUUGCUUUACUUGAUGUUUCUCUGUUUAUCUUGGCUGCCCAGAAGCUCAGACUUAAAUGUAAGAGUCUACUUACAGUAACAACCUUGUUGCGGAUACAAUUAAUUCUCCCUAUCUUGUAUGUGGUUUCCGUUGUCUUUAUUUAUUAUCUUUAUUUAAACCUUUAAAAGAGUAUAGGAUAUCAAUUUAUGAAAAGAAAAAUAUUUUUUUUAGUUCAAUUGAAAUCCCUGUUUUGUACCACACUAUAUUUAAUGCCCCAUAUAGUUCUAAAACUCUGCAUGAUUCAAAGCAGGGGUUCUUAUUCUGGCGUGUGUGUGUGUGUGUGUGUGUGUGUGUGUGUGUGUCUGUAUGUACAUACCUC
rnacentral:lncRNA from 1 species